GGGCAGGGCCAGGAUAGGGCGAUCCUGGAAGCUGGGCUUCAGAAGCGUCCAGGCAGGAAUCGGAGUGCUGUAGCACAAUCACAGCUCACUGCAGCCUCAAACUCCUGGGUUCCAGCGAUCCUCCCGCCUCAGCCUCCCCAGUAGCUGCGACUACAGGCAUGUGACACUACACCCAGCCCAGUAAAGGCACCAUUCCCCAUUUUACAGCUGGAGAAACUGAGUUACAGAGCUUGUUUGCAUUGAGUCAACAGGAGCAAAUGCUAGAUCAGAUGGAGCAACUCAGGCACAGGGAGCAAGUCAUUGGCCAUGGUCGCCCAGCUGAGGAAGGAUGGAGCCGGCUGAGAUCCUGUUCUGGGGAUCUAACUCUGCAGCCUGCAUUCUGGGCUGCUGUAUUCUGCCAUGUGCUAUCUGACGAGCACAGCAUGGGCUCAGAGUACAGAGAGGAGGAACCAGGUAAUAAGGAUAGGUCUGGGG
rnacentral:lncRNA from 1 species